rnacentral:rRNA from 1 species
GUAGCCGGCCUGAGAGGGCGACCGGCCACACUGGGACUGAGACACGGCCCAGACUCCUACGGGAGGCAGCAGUGGGGAAUAUUGCGCAAUGGGCGGAAGCCUGACGCAGCGACGCCGCGUGGGGGAUGACGGCCUUCGGGUUGUAAACCUCUUUNGCCAGGGACGAAGCGCAAGUGACGGUACCUGGAUAAGAAGCACCGGCCAACUACGUGCCAGCAGCCGCGGUAACACGUAGGGUGCGAGCGUUGUCCGGAAUUAUUGGGCGUAAAGAGCUCGUAGGCGGUCUGUCGCGUCGGUCGUGAAAACUUGGGGCUUAACCCUGAGCUUGCGGUCGAUACGGGCAUGACUGGAGUUCGGCAGGGGAGAC